rnacentral:rRNA from 1 species
CUGAUGUCACAUACCAAACCCGGGGAUAGCCCGACCUGGAUCCUUUAGAUAAUCCUAUGUCUGAUUACCUAGGUGAUAAGGUAACGGCCUACCGAGGCGACGACCAGUCACUGUUCUGAUAAGACAAUCACUCAAAUCCUACCUGAGACACCGUCCGGACUCCUUCGGCAAGCAGCAAUGGCCAAUAUUGGACAUGGCGCGAAAGCCUGAUCCGCCUUUGCCUCGUGUGUCAAUAUUGCCUUCGAGUUGUAAAACACUUUCAUCUGAAAAAAAAACGCUUUGGCCAAUAUCCAAAGCCUUGACUGUACCAGAGGAACAUGCACCUGCUAACUCUGUGCCAGCAUCCGCGGCUACAUACAGAGGGUGCUAGCGUUAAACGUGAUUUACUGGGCGUUCAGCUUGUGAACGCCGUUCGCUACUGUCGUGAUGUGAAAUCCCUGGGAUCUACCUGGAAUUUGCACUGUAUACGUGGAAAUUCUAGAAUACUGCAGAGAGCGGCAGAGUUCCAGGUGUAUCGCUGAAAUGCGUAUAUACUCUGGAGGAACACCGAUGUGCGAAGGCAACCGCCAUUAGCCUGUACUGGUCGCUCACACACGUAAACGAUGAGGAGCAGACUGGAUUAGAUACCCUGGUAUCUCCACGCCGUACACAAUCAGAACUCGACCUCCGUUUGCUCUACGAAUCGAUGUCUUAACUCACACGAUAUGUUCUCCGCCUGCGGAGUACGGCCGACAUGUUGAUACUCACAAGACUUGACGGGAGCCCUCACACGCGCUAGAGUAUGUGGUUUAAUUCUA